rnacentral:tRNA from 1 species
UUAAUUGAAACCAAAAAGAGGUAUAUCACUGUUAAUGAUACCAUUGAGGAAUCCUCCAAUUAAU